AAAAGGGAGCUUUUGAGGCUCCAUAGGGCGUCCACAUCAGUGGAAAAAAAUUUUCUCGAAAGAUGACACGUGGCAUAAAAUAUAGUUUUACAUUUUAAUAUUAAUUAUUUCGAAAAUUGUAAAAAAUAUGUAAACAUACAGCAUUAAAAAAUGGAAAAACUACAUUAAACAUAUGUAAGAUUACUAUUUUUCACUUAAAAAAAAGACGGUUUAUCUCCAUAAUGUAACAUUACCGUUUUAUAAAAAAAAAACAAAAAACAUUAUAUAUAAUUUCGAAAAUAAUAAAUAUAUGUAAAACAUACAACAUAAAAAUGGAAAUACUACAUUAAACAUAAAUAUG
rnacentral:lncRNA from 1 species